GAUGAAGAACGCAGCGAAAUGCGAUAAGUAGUGUGAAUUGCAGAAUUCAGUGAAUCAUCGAAUCUUUGAACGCACAUUGCGCCCUUUGGUAUUCCUUAGGGCAUGUCUGUUCGAGCGUCAUUUAAACCUUCAAGCUAAGCUUGGUGUUGGGUGACUGUCCGCUUCACGGCGGACUCGCCUCAAAAUUAUUGGCGGCCGGUACAUUGGCUUCGAGCGCAGCAGAAACGCGAACUCGGGCCCGUCGUAUUGGCUCCCAGAAGCUAUCUUCACAAUUUUGACCUCGGAUCAGGUAGGGAUACCCGCUGAACUUAAGCAUAUCAAGAAGCGGAGGA
rnacentral:misc_RNA from 1 species